AUUGAACGCUGGCGGCAGGCCUAACACAUGCAAGUCGAACGAGUGGCGGACGGGUGAGUAAUGUCUGGGAAACUGCCUGAUGGAGGGGGAUAACUACUGGAAACGGUAGCUAAUACCGCAUACCAUCGGAUGUGCCCAGAUGGGAUUAGCUAGUAGGUGGGGUAAAGGCUCACCUAGGAGACGAUCCCUAGCUGGUCUGAGAGGAUGACCCGCCACACGUGAACUGAGACACGGUCCAGAAUCCUACGGGAGGCAGCAGUGGUGAAUAUUGCACAAUGGGCGCAAGCCUGCUGCAGCCAUGCCGCGUGUAUGAAGAAGGCCUUCGGGUUGUAAAGUACUUUCAGUGGGGAGGCGUUACCCGCAGAAGAAGCACCGGCUAACUCCGUGCCAGCAGCCGCGGUAAUAC
rnacentral:rRNA from 1 species